rnacentral:rRNA from 1 species
AGUGAACGCUGGCGGUAGGCCUAACACAUGCAAGUCGAACGGCAGCACAGUAAGAGCUUGCUCUUACGGGUGGCGAGUGGCGGACGGGUGAGGAAUACAUCGGAAUCUACUUUUUCGUGGGGGAUAACGUAGGGAAACUUACGCUAAUACCGCAUACGACCUACGGGUGAAAGCAGGGGAUCUUCGGACCUCGCGCGAUUGAAUGAGCCGAUGUUGGAUUAGCUAGUUGGCGGGGUAAAGGCCCACCAAGGCGACGAUCCGUAGCUGGUCUGAGAGGAUGAUCAGCCACACUGGAACUGAGACACGGUCCAGACUCCUACGGGAGGCAGCAGUGGGGAAUAUUGGACAAUGGGCGCAAGCCUGAUCCAGCCGUACCGCGUGGGUGAAGAAGGCCUUCGGGUUGUAAAGCCCUUUUGUUGGGAAAGAAAAGCAGCAGGUUAAUACCCCGCUGUUCUGACGGUACCCAAAGAAUAAGCACCGGCUAACUUCGUG